rnacentral:rRNA from 1 species
AUUGAACGCUGGCGGCAUGCCUUACACAUGCAAGUCGAACGGCAGCACGGGGCAACCUGGUGGCGAGUGGCGAACGGGUGAGUAAUGCAUCGGAACGUGCCAUUGAGUGGGGGAUAACGUAGCGAAAGUUGCGCUAAUACCGCAUAUUCUGUGAGCAGGAAAGCAGGGGACCGCAAGGCCUUGCGCUCUUUGAGCGGCCGAUGUCAGAUUAGCUAGUUGGUGAGGUAACGGCUUACCAAGGCGACGAUCUGUAGCGGGUCUGAGAGGAUGAUCCGCCACACUGGAACUGAGACACGGUCUAGACUCCUACGGGAGGCAGCAGUGGGGAAUUUUGGACAAUGGGCGCAAGCCUGAUCCAGCCAUGCCGCGUGAGUGAAGAAGGCCUCGGUUGUAAGACU